UUGUCAAACUCACAAUGUGAUACCGCCACAUUGUGAGAGAUAUUUGGGAUGAGAUACUAUUGGAACAACUGGAACUGAGCUGGGAACACGUGCUUAGUCAACACACCCUUAUCGCUUCCUCACUGGGCUCAUCUGUGACAGCUGUGUGGAGUUUGAGCUUGAAAAUUUGGCUGGAGAACAAUUCAAGUCACUAAUCUUCGUUCUUUAAGUCGGAAGUGGGUGCAGAGAUUCGAACUAGGUUGCUGAGUAAACUCGAGGGGAGGACGGAUGUGUGGUGUAUCGACUGCGGUGUAACGUAAACACCCUCGAGAAGAUAGUACACACACAUUAUAUAUGGUAUAAUGAGUUCGAAUAUAUUUGAAUAUAUGUAGAGUAAGCCAGAUGGAGAGCCGACAGUUCACGUUCGGCAGUCUGAAGUAACGGAGUGUUUUAUUUAGAGAACGUCCCCAGUUAGAUACACAAAAGUGACGACGAGCAAGGAGGUGUUAAAAAAAAAAGUUUUUUUUUUAUCAAGCGUGCAUUAGGAUUAGUUCCGGUUUAAUAACCGCGUAAACUGGCUUUUAAGAAAGCAUUUGUGUGGAAAAAGUUCCUGAGUGGUACAAGCCGCACGCUAGUCAAUAGCGGCUUUGUGGUUGAUGUAAAUUUGCUGAGUGGCUGAAUACGAUAUUCCAGUGAGAGAUUGACCAACAAGAACAGCGUAAAGACGCUUAGAAUAUCGUAAAUUGUGGUGAGAGGAAGCGAUCUGAGCAUCACAAUAGAAAGCUUGAAGGAUUCUUAAAGGAUGGUAUAAAGCUGACUACACAGAACAUCGCUGAACUACGUGCAAACGGAAGCUAUUAGGCCAUGAUGAUUGAAGGAAGAACUCAGAAUGACCGAAUUCGAGUUCCGAAAGGAAACCUUCAACCAAAACCCAUGUAGCUCCCUGCAGUUACAAGAUUCUUCUAGAAAAGCAUCAUGAAGAAAUUUCUGCUCGCAUUUAUACGGAAAUUACGGAGAGAAUCACCGAAGAGGAGCGUUGUUUAUUCGAAGCGAAUUCGUCUAUGUGACUUUUCAGGAAUAUUGCAGCGAUUGCACCGCGUUGCGUAUCUAAAAACGAUGUUACUCUAAAAGAAACUCUGGUAAUCAUUGUAUCAUCGACGUCGCUAACGCUCAGAGUUUGGAUCACGACUGGAACAAGUU